rnacentral:lncRNA from 1 species
UGGGGCUGUAAAAGUUGGAUGUGGGUCGCUAUGGGUUGUUAGGGGUCACUAUGGGUCUCUGUGGGUCUCUAUGGGUCCAAUAUGGGUCUCUACGGGUACUUAUGGGUGGGAUGUGGGUCGCUAUGGGUCUCUAUGGGUUGUUAUGGGUCACUAUGGGUCUCUAUGGGUGGGAUGUGGGUCGCUAUGGGUCGCUGUGGGGCAGGGAGCCGUGGCUGUGGGUCCUUAUGGGUGGGAUGCGGGUCGCUAUGGGUCUCUAUGGGUUGCUAUGGCUCACUAUGGGUCUCUAUGGGGCUAGAUGGGUUGGAUGUGGGUCGCUAUGGGUUGCUAUGGGUCUCUGUGGGUCUCUAUGGGUCCACUGUGGGUCUCUAUGGGUCUCUAUGGGUGGGAUGUGGGUUGCUAUGGGUCUCUGUGGGUCUCUAUGGGUCCAAUGUGGGGUCACUAUGCGUCUCUAUGGGUGGGAUGUGGGUCGCCAUGGGUCGCCGUGGGGCAGGGAGCCGUGGCUGUGGGUCCUUAUGGGUCGGUAUGGGUCUCCGUGGGUCUCUAUGGGGCUAGAUGGAUUGGAUUUGGGUCUCUAUGGGUUGUUAUGGCUCACUAUGGGUCUCUGUGGGUCUCUAUGGGGCUGUAAAGGUUGGAUGUGGGUCGCUAUGGGUCUCUGUGGGUCUCUAUGGGUCCCUAUGGGUGGGAUGUGGGUCGCUAUGGGUCUCUAUGGGUUGUUAUGGGUCACUAUGGGUCUCUAUGGGUCCCUACGGGUGGGCUGUGGGUCGCUAUGGGUCGCCGUGGGGCAGGGAGCCGUGGUUCGAGGAGAACCGUGGGGCAGCCCUGGGCGGUGUGGGGCUGGCCGCCAGCUCGGGGCCCGGCGCCAUGAUGCAGCUGAAGGUGACGGCGCUGAUGAAGGCUGAGCUCUGCGUGAGUGGGGGGAAAGGGGGGAAAAAUGGGGAG